GACGAACGCUGGCGGCGUGCUUAACACAUGCAAGUCGAACGGAAAGGCCCUGCUUUUGUGGGGUGCUCGAGUGGCGAACGGGUGAGUAACACGUGAGUAACCUGCCCUUGACUUUGGGAUAACUUCAGGAAACUGGGGCUAAUACCGGAUAGGAGCUCCUGCUGCAUGGUGGGGGUUGGAAAGUUUCGGCGGUUGGGGAUGGACUCGCGGCUUAUCAGCUUGUUGGUGGGGUAGUGGCUUACCAAGGCUUUGACGGGUAGCCGGCCUGAGAGGGUGACCGGGCGAGUGUGGACUGAGAUCCGGGCAAGCCUCGGACGGGGGGCAGGUGGGGGGAAUAUUGCAAGAGGGGCGCCGGCGGGAUGGGGCACGGGGGGUGGGGGAAUGAGGGGUUUUGGGUUGAAGGCGGCUGUCGGCGGGGAGGAGGAGGGAGGGACGGUAUUGGGUAAUGAACCACCGGCUAAGAACGUGACACCAGCGGGGGGAGAGGGUGCAAGAGCACGCUUCUAAU
rnacentral:rRNA from 1 species